UCCGUGGUGGUCCAGUGGUUAAGACUCUGAGCUCCCGAUUCAGAGGGCCUAGGUUCGAUCCUUGGUCAGGGAG
rnacentral:tRNA from 1 species